rnacentral:rRNA from 1 species
CGGGUGAGUAACACGUGGAUAACCUACCUAUAAGACUGGGAUAACUUCGGGAAACCGGAGCUAAUACCGGAUAAUAUAUUGAACCGCAUGGUUCAAUAGUGAAAGACGGUUUUGCUGUCACUUAUAGAUGGAUCUGCGCCGCAUUAGCUAGUUGGUAAGGUAACGGCUUACCAAGGCAACGAUGCGUAGCCGACCUGAGAGGGUGAUCGGCCACACUGGAACUGAGACACGGUCCAGACUCCUACGGGAGGCAGCAGCA